GGCUUCACCCACAGAUGACAGAUCUUUUCUAGCAUCGAAGAGGACUGAGCUUUUCCAGGGUCCCAUUCUAGCCUCUGGACCUGAGUCUUGGCAGCACUGACUGGUUACCUGCAAGCCACACAGUCAUCCCUUAACCUAUCACUGAAGUCAAAGAGAUGUGAUCUCCCGAUUGAUUGGCUUGGCCAGGUCACAUGCUCACCUCUGAGGUUGAAGUGAGAGAGAUUCCUGCAACAUUUCUGGAAGCCCCAGUGAGAUCUCCUUCUCCAUGGCCCCAUGGUAGAGACGGGCUGCUGCUCCCUGGUCUCUGAGAACACUAAAGUCUUCUGGAACUGAGAAGCACAAGGGGACUGCGGGACCAAGACCUGGAGUCUCUGGGAAACAUACAUCCUAAACAGGACUUCAGGGUCCUCUCCCAGUGGACAAGGGGACUGCGGGACCAAGACCUGGAGUCUCUGGGAAGCACACAUCCUAAACAGGACUUCAGGGUCCUCUCCCAGUGGACAAGGGGACUGCGGGACCAAGACCUGGAGUCUCUGGGAAGCACACAUCCUAAACAGGACUUCGGGGUCCUCUCCCAGUGGACAAGGGGACUGUGGGACCAAGACCUGGAGUCUCUGAGCGGAAGACCAGAUGAGACUGGGCUGGAUGUCCAGGCCAGGUAAAGACAAAAAAGGGAGAUAGGCAGGAAGAGCCAGCAAUGGCUAGAUCGCCUUGCAGGAUAUUAUAUCUGGAGCCUUGAAGGGAUACUCAGGUAGCACCGGUCCCCAAGGAAAAGGCCUUGAUGAGAUACUCAGGUGGAUUAGUCUUGGAAGAAAUAGACAGACUAAGCAUUUAAAAGGGGGAUGUAUAACUUCUAAGUGAAUGGUGAAUGACUGUGUAGGUGACUGUAAUGCUCCCGCAGCUCCGUGGCUACAGAAUUUGAUUGGGCCUCAACCUCAGAUCGGCUGAAGCCCUUUCAAAUGAACAGGCACUCCCACUCACAAUAGGAGGUGACCAAGUACAAGGUUAUACAUGUGGCUCUAAGGAAAGACCUCUGAAAUUGCCACAUGGUGUCUGGCCAGGCAGAUGCCUGCUUGAGGGAGAAGCUGGUCUCCACCUCACCCUAUUACUACACAGGGUUAGGCACACAUAAACUCCCCCAGUUUCCAGAUAGGGAAUUUUUCUCACCAUGGGAUUUGUAAAAUCCUGAUGUGAAACUCACACAAUCCUGCAAAGACCUUUGUGAUGGUUUGUAUAUCCUUGGACCAGGGAGUGGCACCAUCUGAAGGUGUGGCCUUGUUGGAAUAGGUGUGACCUGGUUGGAAUGGGUGUGUCACUGUGGGUGUGGGUAUAAGAUCCUCACCCUAGUUGCCUGGAAGUCAGUCUUCCACUAGCAGCCUUUGGAUGAAAACAUAGAACUCUCAGCUCCUCCUGCGCCAUGCCUGCCUGGAUGCUGCCAUGCUCCCACCUUGAUGAUAAUGGACUGAACCUCUGAACCUGUAAGCCAG
rnacentral:lncRNA from 1 species